UCUCAUGUAUUUAAAGGUUCACUGUAAAGGUUAACUUCAGAUCUCGUGUUUGAAUUUCGGAUUUCAUCUUCUUACAGUUACAAUCAAAAGGGGGACAUCAAGCACCAUCUUUGAUUAAAUGUACUGGGGAGAGAGAUGUCAAGUGUACAAGAACAAGAGUUACCAGAACCAGACCAUUACAACGAUGUUAUGAGUGGUGACGGUCAAGAUGAUGAUGAUGAUGUUGAGAUGCUAGAUUCUGUGAA